rnacentral:rRNA from 1 species
AUUGAACGCUGGCGGCAGGCCUAACACAUGCAAGUCGAACGGUAACAGGAAGCAGCUUGCUGCUUCGCUGACGAGUGGCGGACGGGUGAGUAAUGUCUGGGAAGCUGCCUGAUGGAGUGGGAUAACUACUGGAAACGGUAGCUAAUACCGCAUAAUGUCGCAAGACCAAAGAGGGGGACCUUCGGGCCUCUUGCCAUCGGAUGUGCCCAGAUGGGAUUAGCUUGUUGGUGGGGUAACGGCUCACCAAGGCGACGAUCCCUAGCUGGUCUGAGAGGAUGACCAGCCACACUGGAACUGAGACGCGGUCCAGACUCCUACGGGAGGCAGCAGUGGGGAAUAUUGCACAAUGGGCGCAAGCCUGAUGCAGCCAUGCCGCGUGUAUGAAGAAGGCCUUCGGGUUGUAAAGUACUUUCAGCGGGGAGGAAGGGAGUAAAGUUAAUACCUUUGCUCAUUGACGUUACCCGCAGAAGAAGCACCGGCUAACUCCGUG